GUGUCAGCAGCCGCGGUAAGACGAACCGUGCGAACGUUGUUCGGAUUCACUGGGCUUAAAGGGCGCGUAGGCGGACCCAAAAGUCCGGGGUGAAAUCGUUCGGCUUAACCGGACAAUUGCCUUGGAUACUGUGGGUCUCGAGGGAGGUAGGGGCAUGCGGAACUUCCGGUGGAGCGGUGAAAUGCGUUGAUAUCGGAAGGAACUCCGGUGGCGAAAGCGGCGUGCUGGAUCUCUUCUGACGCUGAGGCGCGAAAGCCAGGGGAGCAAACGGGAUUAGAAACCCCCGUAGUCC
rnacentral:rRNA from 1 species